rnacentral:rRNA from 1 species
UACGUAGGGUGCAAGCGUUGUCCGGAAUUAUUGGGCGUAAAGAGCUCGUAGGCGGUCUGUCGCGUCGUCUGUGAAAACUCGGGGCUCAACCCCGAGCCUGCAGUCGAUACGGGCAGACUUGAGUGCUGUAGGGGAGACUGGAAUUCCUGGUGUAGCGGUGAAAUGCGCAGAUAUCAGGAGGAACACCGGUGGCGAAGGCGGCUUGCUGGGCCUUACCUGACGCUGAGGAGCGAAAGCGUGGGGAGCGAACAGG